rnacentral:rRNA from 1 species
AAGCGCUUGCAGCCAGACUUGCCUGUAGUUGCUCAUCCGAGCUCCCGCUCGGUGCACUCUUCUGCGGGCAGGCCAGCAUCAGUCCGGGCGGUCGGAUAAAGGCUUCGGGAAUGUAGCUCCCCUCGGGGAGUGUUAUAGCCCGGAGUGCCAUGCGACCAGCCUGGACUGAGGUCCGCGCAUCUGCUAGGAUGCUGGCGUAAUGGCUGUAAGCGG